GCGCUCAUAGACCAGCUGGAUAGAGCACUUGGCUACGAACUAAGGGGUCGGGAGUUCGAAUCUCUCUGAGCGCACCA
rnacentral:tRNA from 1 species